UCCAUUACCUUUUUUCUACCUUUUCCCACCAUUUCUUCCUUUUUAUUAGCCAAUUAUACAAAAAACCACCAAAACAUUCAUUUUAUGUUUAAUAGCCAAAUAAAUUGGCUAAUUAAACCUAAAAACCCUAGCCACCUCCUAUCCCUAUAAAUAUACUCCCAUUCUCACCAAAAAGCUAAUUCCAACACUUUGGCAAAAAUCCCAAAAUUCUCUAAACACUCUUUCUCUCUAAAUUCUAACUUUGGCAUCGGAGGUUCUUCGGCCAAAGCCCCCCCCCAUUCAUCGUGGGCGCGUGAGGCUCUUGGCCUUAACCUAAGGUGUUAAUUGUUUUGUAGGUGCAAAAUCGUCCAAGAUCGAGGAGGAAGAAAUUUGCAUCCACAAAUUGGUGCUUUCAUUGAGAGUUGAAAUCCAUACUCGUAGAAGACUCUCGCAC
rnacentral:lncRNA from 1 species